CAAGCAGUAGGAGCCCACUUGUUGGGUGACUGCGUACCUUUUGUAUAAUGGGUCAGCGACUUAUAUUUUGUAGCGAGGUUAACCGAAUAGGGUAGCCGUAGGGAAACCGAGUCUUAACUGGGCGAAUAGUUGCAAGGUAUAGACCCGAAACCCGGUGAUCUAGCCAUGGGCAGGUUGAAGGUUGAGUAACAUCAACUGGAGGACCGAACCCACUAACGUUGAAAAGUUAGGGGAUGACCUGUGGCUAGGAG
rnacentral:rRNA from 1 species